rnacentral:rRNA from 1 species
CCUACGGGUGGCAGCAGUGAGGAAUAUUGGUCAAUGGACGAGAGUCUGAACCAGCCAAGUAGCGUGAAGGAUGACUGCCCUAUGGGUUGUAAACUUCUUUUAUAUGGGAAUAAAAUGUUCCACGUGUGGGAUUUUGUAUGUACCAUAUGAAUAAGGAUCGGCUAACUCCGUGCCAGCAGCCGCGGUAAUACGGAGGGUCCGAGCGUUAUCCGGAUUUAUUGGGUUUAAAGGGAGCGUAGGUGGAUUGUUAAGUCAGUUGUGAAAGGUUGCGGCUCAACCGUAAAAUUGCAGUUGAAACUGGCGGUCUUGAGUACAGUAGAGGUGGGCGGAAUGCGUGGUGUAGCGGUGAAAUGCUUAGAUAUCGCGAAGAACUCCGAUUGCGAAGGCAGCAUACCGGCGCCCGACUGACGCUGAGGCACGAAAGCGUGGGGAUCGAACAGGAUUAGAUACCCCGGUAGUC